CACAAGCGGUGGAGCAUGUGGUUAAUUCGAUGCAACGCGAAGAACCUUACCUGGUCGUUGACAUCCCGGAGACCCUUAGGAAACUAGGGGGUGCUUCCAUCUGGAAGAAUCUGGAGACAGGUGCUGCAUGGCUGUCGUCAGCUCGUGUCGUGAGAUGUUGGGUUAAGUCCCGCAACGAGCGCAACCCUUGCCUUUAGUUGCCAGCAGUUCGGCUGGGCACUCUAAAGGGACUGCCGGUGUUAAACCGGAGGAAGGUGGGGAUGACGUCAAGUCCUCAUGGCCUUUAUGACCAGGGCUACACACGUACUACAAUGGCCGAUACAAAGGGCAGCGACACGUGCGAGGUGAAGCCAAUCCCGUAAAAUCGGUCUCAGUCCGGAUUGGAGUCUGCAACUCGACUCCAUGAAGUUGGAAUCGCUAGUAAUCGUGGAUCAGCAUGCCACGGUGAAUACGUUCCCGGGCCUU
rnacentral:rRNA from 1 species